ACUAUUACCUACACCGAUGAGCACUACUUCUUCCAACUUUCCUUUCAAACGUCUCACUCCGGAGGAGCUAGCCAUACGACGAGAGAAGGGACUGUGUUUCCAAUGCGACAAAAAAUAUUCGAGAGGACAUAAGUGCUCUUCUUCCCUUUUCCUAUUCAUUAUGGAAGAUAAUGACACAACAUCAGAGUCUCACGAGCAACAGCUAACCUUGCCGGAACCCGUGCCAGAACCGCCACCAGCAUAGUUGAGUUUUAAUGCGUUGUCAGGACAGGUGGUACCGGAAACAUUACGCAUGCAGGGAUACAUUCGCGGGCAACCUGUGAGUAUAUUGAUAGAUGGAGGUAGCACGCACAAUUUCAUGCAUCA
rnacentral:misc_RNA from 1 species